UUUGUUUCUGAUUCUCAACAGAAAAAUUUCAGAUGCUGAAGGAAUUUGCAUUGUUUUCAGAUUUUCCUCUCUACGCGCUGAUAAGAUUAUCAUCUCCUGCUGAGAUGCCAACCUCACACUCACCCAGCAAAGCUGGGAUGACAGGAUGACUCAUCUUCUGCUGACUUACAUGAGCAAGUCUGCAGAAACAGAGUUUGUGCUGUUCCGAAAAUGGGAAAACUGAAUGUUGCUACGUUGCCAUCUGAUAGCAGUUCUGGCUGCUGAGGUGCCAGACUGACAGAUGCAGAAGCUGGAGCUGUUUCGUUAUCCGGAGAACUGACACUGGAAGGAAGCAGUAGCAUCCUCUCCAGGCUGUUCUAGUACAACACUUCACCCUGAUGGACUCCCUGAAUAUCUGAGCAUACCUCCUGCUCUCCAGCCUUUUCCCAGCUACUCUGCUUGGCAUGUUAAAUUCAUAAAGGCUGCUAACAAAGAUGUCA